rnacentral:rRNA from 1 species
UACGUAGGGGGGCAAGCGUUGUCCGGAUUUAUUGGGCAUAAAGAGCGUGUAGGCGGCUUUACAGGUCCGUUGUGAAAACUCGAGGCUCAACCUCGAGACGCCGGUGGAAACCGUAAAGCUAGAGUCCGGAAGAGGAGAGUGGAAUUCCUGGUGUAGCGGUGAAAUGCGCAGAUAUCAGGAGGAACACCCGUGGCGAAAGCGGCUCUCUGGGACGGUACUGACGCUGAGACGCGAAAGCGUGGGGAGCAAACAGG